ACAGCUUGUCAGAGUCCUUUCUUUUUGGCGUGGGUCAGAGAAAGGCAUGAAAACAUUUCUAUUUUCAAAUAAUGCAGAUAAACAAUCCCUCUUCCGAGGAAACGCCCUGUGCUGCUGGAACUCGGUGGCCAGGGCUUCACCUAGCUUCUCUUCAAUCCAGAAAGAAAAUCACGGGAGAGGCUUGAGACUUCCCCACAUGACAGCAAUUCUUACCGUGCCUGAUGUGGUUCGUCCUGUAGUAUGGGAAGUUGGCCAAAGCACUGCAUUGAGUGUCCCCAGGGUGGCCAAUGGACUGAAGGCAAACUGCGCAUGUGGGAUGAGAAGGACACUCGCUCUUGCAAUGACUCCUUAUGAAGGAGGCCUUUUGAAAAAUCUGCACUCGGCUGAAUCUUCCCGUGCACUGCCGUGGACAUACUCACCAGCCACCCGAGUCAGGCAGAGCAGGAUGCAGCCAGGUCAAAACGGACACAUGGAAUAAGAGAUCCGAGAAAGGGGAAGUUAGAGAGAUGCUGGAAUUUGGAUGUUUUUCUAGAUUUCAUUAAAAGUUAGAAAUAUAAAUCAUCUGAAACCUGUAAAGUUUUUGAUUGGAACAGACCUUAAAGUGAAAUUUAAAAUGAAAAGUAA